AUAUUGCACAAUGGGCGCAAGCCUGAUGCAGCCAUGCCGCGUGUAUGAAGAAGGCCUUCGGGUUGUAAAGUACUUUCAGCGGGGCGUACUGGAGUAAGGUUAAUAACCUUGCUCAUUGACGUUACCCGCAGAAGAAGCACCGGCUAACUCCGUGCCAGCAGCCGCGGUAAUACGGAGGGUGCAAGCGUUAAUCGGAAUUACUGGGCGUAAAGCGCACGCAGGCGGUCUGUCAAGUCGGAUGUGAAAUCCCCGGGCUCAACCUGGGAACUGCAUUCGAAACUGGCAGGCUGGAGUCUUGUAGAGGGGGGUAGAAUUCCAGGUGUAGCGGUGAAAUGCGUAGAGACCUGGAGGAAUACCGGUGGCGAAGGCGGCCCCCUGGACAAAGACUGACGCUCAGGUGCGAAAGCGUGGGGAGCAAAC
rnacentral:rRNA from 1 species